rnacentral:rRNA from 1 species
AGAUUCCUACGGGAGGCAGCAGCAGGGAAUAUUGCGCAAUGAGCGAAAGCUUGACGCAGCGACACCGCGUGUGGGAUGACGGAUCUAGGUUUGUAAACCACUUUCAGGAGGGAAGAAAAUGACGGUACCUCCACAAGAAGCCCCGGCCAACUACGUGCCAGCAGCCGCGGUAAUACGUAGGGGGCGAGCGUUGUCCGGAUUUAUUGGGCGUAAAGAGCUCGUAGGCGGUUCAACAAGUCGGUCGUGAAAGUUCAGGGCUCAACCCUGAAAUGUCGAUCGAUACUGUUGUGACUAGGAUACGGUAGAGGUGAGUGGAAUUCCGAGUGUAGCGGUGAAAUGCGUAGAUAUUCGGAGGAACACCAAUUGCGAAGGCAGCUCACUGGGCCGCUAUCGACGCUGAGGAGCGAAAGCUAGGGGAGCAAACAGGAUUAGAUACCCUGGUAGUCCUAGCUGUAAACGAUGGAUACUAGACGUAGGAAUUGGAUUAACGAUUUCUGUGUCGUAGCUAACGCGUUAAGUAUCCCGCCUGGGGAGUACGGUCGCAAGACUAAAACUCAAAGGAAUUGACGGAAUCGU